CCUACGGGUGGCAGCAGUGGGGAAUAUUGCACAAUGGGGGAAACCCUGAUGCAGCGACGCCGCGUGAAGGAAGAAGUAUUUCGGUAUGUAAACUUCUAUCAGCAGGGAAGAACAUGACGGUACCUGACUAAGAAGCCCCGGCUAACUACUUGCCAGCAGCCGCGGGAAUACGUAGGGGGCAAGCGUUAUCCGGAUUUAAGGGGGUGAAAGGGAGCGUAGGCGGUGCAGCAAGUCAGAAGUGAAAGCCCGGGGCUCAAAUCCGGGACUGCUUUUGAAACUGUUGAACUAGAUUGCAGGAGAGGUAAGUGGAAUUCCUAGUGAAGCGGUGAAAGGCGUAGAUAUUAGGAGGAACACCAGAGGCGAAGGCGGCUUACUGGACUGUAAAUGACGCUGAGGCUCGAAAGCGUGGGGAGCAAACAGGAUUAGAUACCCGGGUAGUC
rnacentral:rRNA from 1 species